rnacentral:rRNA from 1 species
GGUUUGUCGCGUCUGCUGUGAAAUCCCGAGGCUCAACCUCGGGUCUGCAGUGGGUACGGGCAGACUAGAGUGCGGUAGGGGAGAUUGGAAUUCCUGGUGUAGCGGUGGAAUGCGCAGAUAUCAGGAGGAACACCGAUGGCGAAGGCAGAUCUCUGGGCCGUUACUGACGCUGAGGAGCGAAAGGGUGGGGAGCAAACAGGCUUAGAUACCCUGGUAGUCCACCCCGUAAACGUUGGGAACUAGUUGUGGGGUCCAUUCCACGGAUUCCGUGACGCAGCUAACGCAUUAAGUUCCCCGCCUGGGGAGUACGGCCGCAAGGCUAAAACUCAAAGGAAUUGACGGGGACCCGCACAAGCGGCGGAGCAUGCGGAUUAAUUCGAUGCAACGCGAAGAACCUUACCAAGGCUUGACAUACACCAGAACGCCCUAGAAAUAGGGAACUCUUUGGACACUGGUGAACAGGUGGUGCAUGGUUGUCGUCAGCUCGUGUCGUGAGAUGUUGGGUUAAGUCCCGCAACGAGCGCAACCCUCGUUCUAUGUUGCCAGCACGUAAUGGUGGGAACUCAUGGGAUACUGCCGGGGUCAACUCGGAGGAAGGUGGGGAUGACGUCAAAUCAUCAUGCCCCUUAUGUCUUGGGCUUCACGCAUGCUACAAUGGCCGGUACAAAGGGCUGCAAUACCGUGAGGUGGAGCGAAUCCCAAAAAGCCGGUCCCAGUUCGGAUUGAGGUCUGCAACUCGACCUCAUGAAGUCGGAGUCG